GUUAUAUGGUCAAGCGAAUAAGCGCACACGGUGGAUGCCUAGGCGGUCAGAGGCGAUGAAGGACGUGGUAGCCUGCGAAAAGUGUCGGGGAGCUGGCAACAAGCUUUGAUCCGGCAAUAUCCGAAUGGGGAAACCCACUGCUUCGGCAGUAUCCUGCAGUGAAUUCAUAGCUGCUGGAAGCGAACCCGGUGAACUGAAAUAUCUAAGUAACCGGAGGAAAAGAAAUCAACCGAGAUUCCCUAAGUAGUGACGAGCGAACGGGGAACAGCCCUUAAGCUGGAAUGGCUUUAGAAAAACAAUCUGGAAAGAUUGGCCAUAGAAGGUGAUAGCCCUGUAUUUAAAAGGGCCACUCCAGUGAAGACGAGUAGGGCGGGGCACGUGAAACCCUGUCUGAAUAUGGGGGGACCAUCCUCCAAGGCUAAAUACUCCUGACCGACCGAUAGUGAACCAGUACCGUGAGGGAAAGGCGAAAAGAACCCCGGAGAGGGGAGUGAAAUAGAUCCUGAAACCGUGUGCGUACAAGCAGUAGGAGCUCGCAAGAGUGACUGCGUACCUUUUGUAUAAUGGGUCAGCGACUUACUGUUCGUGGCAAGCUUAACCGUAUAGGGGAGGCGAAGGGAAACCGAGUCUGAUAAGGGCGCAUAGUCGCGGGCAGUAGACCCGAAACCGGGUGAUCUAGUCAUGGCCAGGGUGAAGGUGCCGUAACAGGUACUGGAGGCCCGAACCCACGUCUGUUGCAAAAGACGGGGAUGAGCUGUGAUUAGGAGUGAAAAGCUAAUCGAACCCGGAGAUAGCUGGUUCUCCUCGAAAGCUAUUUAGGUAGCGCCUCGGACGAAUACUACUGGGGGUAGAGCACUGUUAUGGCUAGGGGGUCAUCGCGACUUACCAAACCAUUGCAAACUCCGAAUACCAGUACGUACUAUCCGGGAGACACACGGCGGGUGCUAACGUCCGUCGUGAAAAGGGAAACAACCCAGACCCACAGCUAAGGUCCCAAAUUCACUGCUAAGUGGAAAACGAUGUGGAAAGGCAUAGACAGCCAGGAGGUUGGCUUAGAAGCAGCCACCCUUUAAAGAAAGCGUAAUAGCUCACUGGUCGAGUCGGUCUGCGCGGAAGAUUUAACGGGGCUAAGCAGUGAACCGAAGCUUGGGGUGCGUAAAACUUCGGUUUUAUGCGCGGUAGAGGAGCGUUCCGUAAGCCUGCGAAGGUGGAUUGAGAAGUCCGCUGGAGGUAUCGGAAGUGCGAAUGCUGACAUGAGUAACGAUAAUGCGGGUGAAAAGCCCGCACGCCGAAAGCCCAAGGUUUCCUUGCGCAACGUUAAUCGACGCAGGGUUAGUCGGUCCCUAAGGCGAGGGCGAAAGCCGUAGUCGAUGGGAAGCAGGUUAAUAUUCCUGCACCUCGCGUGAGUGCGAUGGAGGGACGGAGAAGGUUAGGUGUACCGGGCGUUGGUUGUCCCGGGGAAAGGCGGUAGGUUUGGAUCUUUGGCAAAUCCGGGAUCCUUUAAGACCGAGCACCGAGACGAGCCUUUAUGGCAAAGUCACUGAUACCACGCUUCCAGGAAAAGCUCCUAAGCUUCAGCUCACGAAGACCGUACCGUAAACCGACACAGGUGGGUAGGAUGAGAAUUCUCAGGCGCUUGAGAGAACUCGGGUGAAGGAACUAGGCAACAUGGCACCGUAACUUCGGGAGAAGGUGCACCCUUUUUGGUGGCUCAUGCGAGCUAUAGCUGAAGAGGGUCGCAGAAACCAGGCCGCUGCGACUGUUUAUCAAAAACACAGCACUCUGCAAACACGAAAGUGGACGUAUAGGGUGUGACGCCUGCCCGGUGCUGGAAGGUUAAUUGAUGGGGUCAGCCGCAAGGCGAAGCUCUUGAUCGAAGCCCCAGUAAACGGCGGCCGUAACUAUAACGGUCCUAAGGUAGCGAAAUUCCUUGUCGGGUAAGUUCCGACCUGCACGAAUGGCGUAACGACAGCGGCGCUGUCUCCACCCGAGACUCAGUGAAAUUGAAAUCGCUGUGAAGAUGCAGCGUUCCCGUGGCAAGACGGAAAGACCCCGUGAACCUUUACUAUAGCUUUACACUGAACGUUGAGUUCGUCUGUGUAGGAUAGGUGGGAGGCUAUGAAACUGUGGCGCUAGCUGCAGUGGAGCCAUCCUUGAAAUACCACCCUGUCGUGCUUGACGUUCUAACCUAGAUCCGUUAUCCGGAUCAGGGACCGUGUAUGGUGGGUAGUUUGACUGGGGCGGUCUCCUCCUAAAGAGUAACGGAGGAGCACGAAGGUACGCUCAGCGCGGUCGGACAUCGCGCACUGUGUGCAAAGGCAUAAGCGUGCUUGACUGCAAGAUCGACGGAUCAAGCAGGUACGAAAGUAGGUCUUAGUGAUCCGGUGGUUCUGUAUGGAAGGGCCAUCGCUCAACGGAUAAAAGGUACUCCGGGGAUAACAGGCUGAUACCGCCCAAGAGUUCAUAUCGACGGCGGUGUUUGGCACCUCGAUGUCGGCUCAUCACAUCCUGGGGCUGUAGUCGGUCCCAAGGGUAUGGCUGUUCGCCAUUUAAAGUGGUACGCGAGCUGGGUUCAGAACGUCGUGAGACAGUUCGGUCCCUAUCUGCCAUGGGCGUUGGAAGUUUGAGAGGGGCUGCUCCUAGUACGAGAGGACCGGAGUGGACGAACCUCUGGUGUUCCGGUUGUCACGCCAGUGGCAUUGCCGGGUAGCUAUGUUCGGAAGCGAUAACCGCUGAAAGCAUCUAAGCGGGAAGCGCGCCUCAAGAUGAGACUUCCCGGGGCACAAGCCCCCUAAAGGAACCAUAUAGACUAUGUGGUUGAUAGGUCAGGUGUGUAAGUACAGCAAUGUAUUGAGCUAACUGAUACUAAUGAUCCGUGCGGCUUGACCAUAUAACCU
rnacentral:rRNA from 1 species